UUUUUUUGGAGAGUUUGAUCCUGGCUCAGGAUGAACGCUGGCGGCGUGCCUAAUACAUGCAAGUCGAGCGGGGUUAUUUCCUUCGGGAAAUAAC
rnacentral:rRNA from 1 species